AAUCCUUUCAUUGUCUCCUUUAUACCCUAUUCCCCUUUCUCACUGUUUCAAUGUCGCGCCUCACACCAACCCCCCGUCGCAGUCGGCCUUCUUCCACCAACCGCUCUCCACCUCAGUCGCCCACCUGCCGGUCGCCGUCGUUGGUCUGCAUCUAUCUGGUAUCUCUCUCUCCCCCUCUCUCUUUCUUUCUUACGGAUAGCUCGGCGGUGGAGGGUGGUGGUGUGUUGUUCGGUUCAAUUUGGGGGUUAGGGUUGGAUUUGGCAAUUUCAUUGGGGUUUUGGGCUGGGCAGGUUAGGGUUUGGAACUAAGCUGGGCUUUCAUGGGUGUGAUCUCGGCGGUAGAGGGUGGUUGGGGCGGUUUGGUUCGAUUUGAAGGUUAGGGUUGGAUUUGGGGGUUAGAGUUGGAUUUCAUAAACAUGGCUAUAGAAUUUUGAAUAUUGAAUUCCCUUUGAAUAGUACACAUAUAUAUGCCUAGGGGCGGAUCCAGCUAUAGCCUAGGAGGGGCUAUAGGCCCCCCUCACUUUUAAAAAAUUACCAAAUUUUCUUUAGAUUUUUAAUUUUUUUACACUUUAGCCCCCCAACCUUAAAUCCUAGCUCCACCCCAUUAAAUCUCUUUUAGGUUGUGUUCGGACCCAUAUUUUUUUGAGAAAAAAUAAAAAUAAAAAUAAAAAUAACUAAAAAUAAAAAUAAAAUAAAAUAAAAUUAGACAAUUCUGGAUCGACUAUCUUUUCUAUUUUCAUCAUUUCUUGAAUGGUUGUAUCGUCUAAUUUUUUUUAUUUUUAUUUUUUUCGUCACUAAAUUCUUGAGUUAAAUUGGUUAUCUUAUUUCCUUUCUAAAUAGUUGAAUCUUUUAACUUUUUUCAUUUUUUUUCCUAAUUAAAUUUUCAAUUCAAAUACAACCUUAUUUAUUUAUAUUUUUCAAAGUAGGAUUUAGGAAUGGAAAGAGAAGUAGUUUGAUUCUAAAUUCCAAGUUUUAGCUCUCUAAUGAAGGUUCCAGAUGCUUUUGUUUAGCUCAUAGUUUCAUACUGGAACGGGAGAAUUAUGAUUACGAAGAUUUAUAAAACAAAUUUAUAAAACUUUUAUUAAUACGUCCAGAAAGAUAAUCUUUCAUAGAGAACAACAUCACUGAGUACUUUUUAUUCAUUGGGGGCACACAAACAGCAAAAGACGGACACACAUUUAAUAUAAAUAACAAGCACAUUUGUGAGAAUAUAUAUCUCAAUAUAGAGACUCUUGGAAACACCAUUUCUACCAGUUGGGAUUUGCCAAGAGGUAGGCCUCAACUUUUUUGAAGAUGUCUGACGCUCUUUCUUUGCCGGCCUUAAUUUCCUCUUCCGAGACUUG
rnacentral:lncRNA from 1 species